rnacentral:lncRNA from 1 species
UUCAUAUCAUUGGUAUCCCAUUCACUUUCUUGCUUGACCACUUCUCUACCAUCCACCAUCUUCAUUGAAAUUUGAGGAUUAAUUUACAAUGACCCUUUAAACCUCAUAGUCAUUGGCUUGAAUAAACAGUUUCAUCAUAGUUUUUCAAUAUAAGUAGUUGUCACCAACAUAAAAAGAAUGUUUUACAAUUGAAUGGCCUUCACUUUCAAGAGAUGUAGUAACCGUUUCAUUUAUCAUGAGAUACAUUUCUUAUUACCCACUAUAUUUGUUGUAGCUUGAAGAUGGUUGUUCCAUAUUGACCACCAUACCUCGUUGAGUCAUUUUAAGAUCACUGUUAGAUUGAUAAACCUACAAAAAAAAGAGUAUUAGCUUUGAUAUCAAUUGUUAGCUCAAAGACUUGGAUUAAAUCAAUAGGGGAUGAAUUGAUUGAUAAUAAGUUUUUGUAAAUUCAAUAUCCAACAAGCACAAAGAUCACAAAUUAGUUUUUCUAAGCAAGUAAAUAUAACAAAUAUGAGUACUAAUAAUCUUAAAAACAAUAGAUAGAGAUAAAAAAUCAAGCAUCGAAAUUUAUAGAGGUUCAGCCCUUCCUUUAGGGACCUAUAUCUUCUCCCUUAGCCUCACUUACCAGGGAGUUCAAUCCACUAUGUGUUGAAAGUUACAACCUAGCUCUUCAAAGCUCUGCACAAUUAACAACACAAUCUUUUAAGGGUUGUCCUCCUUCUUAAGCUUAUAACCUCACAUUACAAGUUUUUAAAGUAUUUUACAAACUCAAAGAAUCUCUCUAAGGUUGGGAUGUUUGCUAAUUUGAAGAACAAAUCAAGAUUAGAAAGAAUAUCAAGAAAAAAUCUGAUACAAUAAGAGUUUUUGCACUUUUUUCAUACUAAAAGGCUUUUUAAUGCUUGGUGAAAAUGGUAGAUGAAAGCAAUAAGUUUUCUUGGCUCUUGGUUGCUUCAAAUAUGGUGAGAGAUCUUCAUUUAUAUGGUGAGAAUGGAAGAUAGUCGUUGCUUGCAUUAAUUGUUUAGAGCCUCUUCAAAUUUUCAAACAAAAAUAAUUGUUGCAAGCAUUUUAGGCACGAGGGGAUCAAUCCUCUCUUAUGGGGGGAUCGAUUGGUUCAGUUAAAAUUCAAACAAUUUUAUGCAUGAAAAGGCACAACCAAUCGAUCCCUUUUUCAUGUGAUCAAUCCCUUAAUUUGGGUGAUCGAUCAUUUCUCAAAUUCAAAAAAAAAAAUUUCAUUCUUUGUAAAAAAACUAAUGGAUCUCUUCAUGAGGGGAUCGAUCCUGUCUUUAAAACCCUUAAAACAAUCAAUCCAUACAAGGAGGGGAUCAAUUGGUUUUCAUGAAAUUUGCAUGAAAAACCCUUUUGGCUAAAAAAUUCAAUCGAUCUCUUUGAGGGGAGAUUGAUCCUUUAUGUGCUACUUUGCUCAAUCUUAUUUUUAAAUCAUGCUAGAUGAAUGUGAACAUAUUUUUGACUAGAUUAAAAGCUAAAAAAGUAUUCAAAUUAAGUUCAAAUCAUUUUAAUUCAAUUUUAGCAAAUUUUUGUUCUGUCAUUUCAAAAUGUUUUAACAAUUCAAAGCUAACAAUGUCCUAUUUAGGAUUUUCUAACACAAAGGAAGACAUUGCACUAACCUAAGUUCGGACCCUUAGGGUUUAUUUACAUGUUAGGUUCAAAUAUUUGAUAAUCUAAAGGUUCCUAAAUUAUUUCUUAUAUCAUUAUCCUUUAUAGACUGUAGGGCAUCUCAAUGCUCACAUAUUAGGCUACAAGUAAAAAUGGUUCAAUUUAAGUUAAAAUAUAUUUAACUUACCAAAUAAUUUUAAUAUUGAAAAAUUUUCUUAAAUUACUCCAAUAUUUUGGUAAUAAUUUAAAAAUAUUUUCUCAUUUCAGAAGUAUUCAAAAAGACUAUUUGUUACGUUUUGAAAAAGCUUCAUCAUCUGAUUUCUUUAAUUUUACUUGUGAUAAUAAAUUCUAUAAACAUGAUUUAUUAUUAGAAAUAUCUUUUAAUAUGUUAGUAAGAUUUUUUGUCAAAAAUUAUUUUUUAAUAUGUUAGUAGGAGUUUAUGAAAAUUAUUUUUUAAUUUUUAAAAGAAAAAAAUCAAUUAAAAUAAACUAAAAUUAUCAUGAAAAAUUAUCAUGCAAAUGAUGCAAUAAUAUAAAUAUCAUGCAAUAAUAAUAUAAUCAUGCAAAUACUAAUAAAUAUAUUAAUAAUCAUGCAAUGAUCAUAAUCAUAUAAUAUAUCAUAUAAUAAAAAAAUCAUAUAAUAAUAUAAAAUAUCAUGCAAAAAAGUUUUAAAUUAAAGUUAUUUUCAUCUUUUUUUAAAUUAAUCACACAAUAAUAAAAUAAUAAAAAAUAAAAAAUAAAGGAAAAUAAAAAUAGAAAACAAAAUAAAUAAAGAUCAAACCUACAAGGUCAGGCCGGUUGCAAAUUGUUGCGUGGUUCACUUUCUAUUGGCUUUAAAGCUUUAAUUCUUUUAGCUACCAAAAAUGCUGUUGUUUGGAGCUCAGCAACAAAACACUUUUUCGCGUUGCUGUGUAGCUUCAUCUUUAUCCUUUCUGUAUAGUCAAACUUCCAAACCACUAUCUACCAGGCAAACAAGCCAGCUAAAACCUAAAACCAGCCAAACACUAGAUCUAAAUCCUAGCAGAUUAACACUGUCACCACCGCCUUCUCCUUUUCGUCAUCGAUCGAAACCCAGCUGCAACCCAGUCCUCUGCGAGACCUUGCCACUACUUAGUGUUGUCGUAGCUGACGCCAAAGACCAGAAGAGCAGCCUGGCUCAAUUCCUUUUUUUCCUCUUUCGACCCGAAAUCCAGCAAAAAAAUUUUUGCCCAAUUUUUGUUUCUUUGCAAUUUCUGGCUGUUAAUUGGGUUGUUUGUGAUGCCGAAUUGCUUGAAUGUUCACCUUCUGUUUGAUGAUUGUUUGAUCUUGCUUUUGUUUGUAGGUUGGCUAGAAAUUGAAUUCGGGUUUUCUGAAUUUGUGAAAUUUCUACUUGUGGUCAAUUUCAGUUUGGAGCUACUAGGUAUGGUUUGAAUUUCUGGGUAGGAAUUUCUCGAUUCUCUGGGUUCUGGUUAUCUGGGUUCUUGGGAAUCUGGUUUUUUGGGUUAAUUGAAUUUUAUUGUGUCGAUUGUCUGAGUUGAGGCUCACUGGGGAUUUUGAUUUUGGAGAAGUGUAUGGGCAAAGGUAGAUGAUGAGUGUGACUGGUAGCUGGUCUUCUUGCUUGUCCUCCUUUUGUUACCUCCAAAGACUUUGCUUGAAAUUGCUUCUUUGUCGCUGCUGUUGAUUGCUUCUUUUUUCUUCUAAAUCCCUUUUUGGAUUGCUGUUGACCUUUGUUUUGGCCUCUUCUGGAUUUUUUUUCUGCUUCUAUUGACUAUUUCUUCGAUUUAUUUUUGUCUCUAGCCUUUGUUUGUGACUCUGUUUGCUGGUUUCGGGUUUACUUGUUUUUUCAGUUUUCUUGGAUUUAUUGAUGAACCAAAGCUUCUAAGGUUUGAGGAUAGGUUUGUUUCAUGGAUUUUCUGUGUAUCCUUUUCCACUGUCCUACCGAUUGCCUUUCUGUUUAUAGGAAUUGAAUCCCAUUUAAUUUGGAAAGAAAAAUUACCCGAAUAAAUGUGAUUUGAUUUUUGUUGAUUUGAUUUUGCAUGAAUUAACCCCAGAAUCAUCAAAUUAUGAAUUCCCAAAUUUGGUCCAAGAUUUGUAUCCGUAAGUUUCUUUUUCACAAUAAUCCCAUUUUUUCUCUGAUUUCCUUUUUUUGCUUUUUU